rnacentral:rRNA from 1 species
AUGGCGGACGGCUCCAAAGACGUCAGCAGGCGGCGGAAUCCAGCGGACAAGCUCACCGAAGACCUCCUCGUCGAGAUUCUGUCGCCCCUGCCGUACAAGUCGCUGUGCCGGUUCAAGUGCGUCUCCAAGCGGUGGCGCGGCAUCAUCUCCCACCCCGACCACCGCAAGGCGCUGCCGCAGCACCAUCUCCAUGACCUCGCCGGAUUCCUCUACUCGAGCCGCAGCCCUGACUAUUUAUUGAUUCGCAAUUUCACCCAUGUCUCCACGGGAGGUCGCCCUCCUAUGGACCCUUCGCUUCCCUUCCUGCCUAACUGUGACAGGUUCAACCUCCUGGACAGCUGCAACGGCCUACUCCUCUGCAGCCGCUUUGAGACCGCUGAUUCGCGGGCAUUUGAUUACGUAUUGUGCAAUCCUGCCACAGAGAAAUGGCUUGCCUUGCCGUUGCCGCGCUUCUUCAGCAAGUGGCAGACAGCUCGCUUGGGGUUUGACCCGGCUGUCUCCUCGCACUUCCAUGUGUUCCAGUUCCUGGAGGAUGGGGCUGAUACAGACGACGAUGUUGACGAUAGUGAUGGCCACGUCAAAGGGGUUGAGAUCUACUCGUCCAAAACCGGCGCCUGGAGUCACAAGGACAGCGGUUGGGGCUUCCCAGCUAGGAUAUUGAGUUUAAGUGCCUUUGGCAAGGGUUUUCUGCAUUUGGUUACCAUCGAGCCUGCGGUGGUGGUGGCAGUGGAUGUGGAGGGAACUACUUGGAGGGUUAUUCCUAUGCCAUGCAAUCUGUUUGGCCCUGAAAUAGAUCUUGCUGUCGGGUUCACUGAUCUGUCUCAAGGGCGUUUGUAUUUAGCAAAUAUUGAUCAUCGUGAUGGUCACAAACUAUUGAUCUGGGUUCUUGAGGACUACGGCAGUGAAGUGUGGGUCUUGAAGCACAGCGUUAGGCCUUUUGAUCUAUUUGGAGUCAAGUAUGUCCAUCAGGGAAUCAGGUUUCACAUUGUCGCCCACCACCCGCAACGAAACAUGAUUUUCUUAGUUUUUGGGCAUGACAAAGUACUCGUGUCUUAUGAAAUGGAUAGUGGAAAAGUGCAGUUCAUCCGCGAUCUUGGAAAUGGUUCCAUGGGACCCUAUCGUCCUUAUGUUCCCUUGUACUCGGAGGAAUUGGCAGAUUGGAACUGA